GCUCUCAGGACGUAAAGGAUCAAUCUCAGCUUUGCAGAAAAAUUCUGCGUUUUUGUAUCGAUUACUGGACUUACUCCAAGCCGCCAAAGUUUACUGCGUCAUCUAACAGGUAUAAUCUAACUGAAAAUGGGAUUUUCUAUUUGAAAAUUGUUGUAGGAAGAAGGUAAGUGUCUCAUUUUUUAUCAUCAUAUUUGUCAAUUCCUUUAAAUGUCAAUUUUUAUGGAAUUUACAUGACACUUUUGUGGUGUUGUUGCACGUUGCGUACUCUUUCGGCAUAGAAUUUUCGCCAAGGAAAAUCUACGCUUAGGUUAGCCUCCUCUCUUUUUUCAUAGACAUUCCAUAACUGUAUGAAAAAGUUCCGUGAUAGAUUUCUAUAGAAUGAUAUUCGUUUCUAAAUGAUUUUUUUUUCUUACCGCUCUUCAAACUUAACCUAAAAUUGGUAAGUGAUACAAGUGAGUACUUUUGAUUGAUUGAUUUGUUUGUAAACAAAUAUUAAUAGCAACCGGUAUGAUAAUCUUAACUAUAUUAAGAGUAUUCAAUUUACCAUGCAAAUACUUUCAUUAUCAAUUGACUUCUAAAUUCGAAUAAAUUUCAAUAUUGUUAGAAGCUUUCAAUUGUU